rnacentral:rRNA from 1 species
UAGGGAAUCUUCCACAAUGGACGCAAGUCUGAUGGAGCAACGCCGCGUGAGUGAAGAAGGGUUUCGGCUCGUAAAGCUCUGUUGUUAAAGAAGAACGUGGGUAAGAGUAACUGUUUACCCAGUGACGGUAUUUAACCAGAAAGCCACGGCUAACUACGUGACAG